rnacentral:lncRNA from 1 species
UUGGACAAAAAAGUUUCAACAAGAGUGCACACGCUGAAAUGUCUCGCCUUCUAUACUAAUCAUUGAUAUUAUGUUGAUAGUCCUAAGUAUAAAGCUAAGCUUUAAUACAACUGUCACAUAAACUAAACAUUAACCAAGAUAACUAAACAAAGACCAAUGAACCUUGAAAAUGAGGUCAAGGUCAGAUGAACCAUGCCAGUCAGACAUGUACAGCUAACAAUGCUUCUAUACAACAUAUAUAGUUGACCUAUUACUUAUAGUUUAAGAAAAAUAGACCAAAAACACAAAACUUAACACUGUGCAAUGAACCGUGAAAAUGAGGUCACGGUCAAAUAAAACCUGCGCGACUGACAUAAAGAUCAUAAAAUAUUUCCAUACACCAAAUAUAGAUGACCUAUGGCAUAUAGUAUUAGAUAAAAAGACCAAAACUCAAAAACUUAACUUUGACCACUGAACCAUGAAAAUGAGGUCAAGUUCACAUGACAUCUGCCCGCUAGACAGGUACACCUUACAAUCAUUCUAUACAACAAAUAUAGUAGACCUAUUGCAUAUAGUAUGAGAAAAACAGACCAAAACACAAAAAUUUAACUAUAACCACUGAACCAUGAAAAUGAGGUCAAGGUCAGAUGACACCUGCCAGUUGGACAUGUACACCUUACAGUCCUUCCAUACACCGAAUAUACUAGCCCUAUUGCUUGUAGUAUCUGAGAUAUGGACUUGACCACCAAAACUUAACCUUGUUCACUGAUCCAUGAAAUGAGGUCGAGGUCAAGUGAAAACUGU